UACGUAGGGGGCAAGCGUUGUCCGGAUUUAUUGGGCGUAAAGAGCGCGUAGGCGGCCUUACAGGUCAGCUGUGAAAACUCGAGGCUCAACCUCGAGACGUCGGUUGAAACCGUAUGGCUAGAGUCCGGAAGAGGAGAGUGGAAUUCCCGGUGUAGCGGUGAAAUGCGCAGAUAUCGGGAAGAACACCCGUGGCGAAGGCGGCUCUCUGGGACGGUACUGACGCUGAGGCGCGAAAGCGUGGGGAGCGAACAGG
rnacentral:rRNA from 1 species